CGACCUACGGUGCGUAUAAGCAACAUGCUGCUUGGAUCAUCCCAUUUUUCUGCUACCAAGUCUUUGACUGUGCACUGAACACCUGGUGGCUGUUAGUAUUGUGGUCUACCCAAUACCAUACAAGAUUACUUUCAACAGCUGCCUGAGAACUUCCCCUACAAAGAGGACAUCAUGGCCAUGAGCAAUGUGUGCCUGGUCUUCACCGUGCUCCUUUCAUCGGAUGCAUCCUC